rnacentral:snRNA from 1 species
GGAUUUUUAAACUGAUCUGUUACCCUGUUGAUUGCCAGGGUUGAUUUGGCUGAUCUGGCUGGCUAGGCAGGUGUCCCCAUCCUCCUACAUGCUUCAUAUGUAUUCCUCCCAAGUUGCAUAUGCUCAGUUGAGGACAAUGACCUUCUCAAAUAGAGGACCAUCCUUCAGUCAAGGAUAUGUGUGUAGCAGUGAGUCCCUGCUAGAACCUCCAAACAAGCUGUAAAGAGUUAGACAUUCAAUUUUCACGGUCACUGGUUUAAAAUAUUUUUGAGUAGUAAUAUAUCUUUAUAUUUUUUAAAAA